GUGCUCCCUUCAGCAACACAUAUACUAAAAUUGGAAUGAUACAGAAAGAUUAGCACGGCUCCUGUGCAAGGAUGACGUAAUGAAUAUGUAGAGAUCUCAACAUGAACUU
ensembl:snRNA U6 U6 spliceosomal RNA